rnacentral:rRNA from 1 species
AACGAACGCUGGCGGCAUGCCUAACACAUGCAAGUCGAACGAGACCUUCGGGUCUAGUGGCGCACGGGUGCGUAACGCGUGGGAACCUGCCCUUAGGUUCGGAAUAACUCCCCGAAAGGGGUGCUAAUACCGGAUAAUGUCUUCGGACCAAAGAUUUAUCGCCUUUGGAUGGGCCCGCGUUGGAUUAGCUAGUUGGUAGGGUAAAAGCCUACCAAGGCGACGAUCCAUAGCUGGUCUGAGAGGAUGAUCAGCCACACUGGGACUGAGACACGGCCCAGACCCCUACGGGGGGAAGGAGGGGGGAAAAUUGGAAAAGGGGCGAAAGCCUGAUCCAGCAAGGCCGGGGGGGUGAUGAAGGCCUUAGGGUUGUAAAGCUCUUUUACCCGGGAUGAAAAUGACAGUACCGGGAGAAUAAGCCCCGGAGAACCCCGG